AUGUAGCUCAGUGGUAGAGCACUUGCUUGGCAUGCAUAAGAACCUCGGUUCAAUCCCUAGUAU
rnacentral:tRNA from 1 species